rnacentral:rRNA from 1 species
AUGAACGCUGGCGGCGUGCCUCAUACAUGCAAGUCGAGCGAACAGACGAGGAGCUUGCUCCUCUGACGUUAGCGGCGGACGGGUGAGUAACACGUGGAUAACCUACCUAUAAGACUGGGAUAACUUCGGGAAACCGGAGCUAAUACCGGAUAAUAUAUUGAACCGCAUGGUUCAAUAGUGAAAGACGGUUUUGCUGUCACUUAUAGAUGGAUCCGCGCCGCAUUAGCUAGUUGGUAAGGUAACGGCUUACCAAGGCAACGAUGCGUAGCCGACCUGAGAGGGUGAGCGGCCACACUGGAACUGAGACACGGUCCAGACUCCUACGGGAGGCAGCAGUAGGGAAUCUUCCGCAAUGGGCGAAAGCCUGACGGAGCAACGCCGCGUGAGUGAUGAAGGUCUUCGGAUCGUAAAACUCUGUUAUUAGGGAAGAACAAAUGUGUAAGUAACUAUGCACGUCUUGACGGUACCUAAUCAGAAAGCCACGGCUAACUACGUG